AUUGAACGCUGGCGGCAGGCUUAACACAUGCAAGUCGAACGAGUGGCGGACGGGUGAGUAAUGUCUGGGAAACUGACCGAUGGAGGGGGAUAACUACUGGAAACGGUAGCUAAUACCGCAUACCAUCGGAUGUGCCCAGAUGGGAUUAGCUAGUUGGUGGGGUAACGGCUCACCUAGGCGACGAUCCCUAGCGGGUCUGAGAGGAUGACCAGCCACAUGGGGACUGAGACACGGGCCAGACUCCUACGGGAGGCAGCAGUGGGGAAUAUUGCACAAUGGGCGCAAGCCUGAUGCAGCCAUGCCGCGUGAAUGAAGAAGGCCUUCGGGUUGUAAAGUACUGUCGGCAGGGAGGCGUUACCCACAGAAGAAGCACCGGCUAACUCCGUGCCAGCAGCCGCGGUAAUUC
rnacentral:rRNA from 1 species